ACCGAAAACCGUGCGCUUUUCAAAUUUCCUUGUGAAUUGGGCUUCCUUAACUUACACAAAUGAGAACUUUUAACAUGUUGUCAGCGGGAAAAUGCCGACUAUUUAAGCGAAUCAAUUCUUUUCCUUCGUUAUGAUAUCUCCUAUACAUCUAUAAACUGUAAAUGAAGUGAAGUUUUACCUGGAUUCUGAUUGCCGAUUGCAUGGAAUUGACUCUACCUUGUGCCCCACCUAUUAAAAUUGAUCAGCAGUUGGCCAAGUCUUAGGAGAUGGAGGAUAUACUAAGAUUUGGAGUUUAUAGACCAAUCAUCGUGCCUUAAGUCAUCCGUAGAGUCGUGCGUAACUUUACGAACAGCUUCAUGACACACCGACUCGAGUAAUCUUUCAACCAAUCACAGUUGGACAGCGACGACCAAGAAGGAGAUUGAGGAUUAAGACAAGGAGCUUACAAGCCAUCAUGGACAGUGACAACCGAUCAUCACAGUUCUACGCUGAAGCCACUGACCUGAUCCUGCAAAGGCAUACCCAAGUCAUCAAGCACAAGCCUGGAAGGAUCAUCUUUUGCAAAGGGAAGCUCAAAAAAGAUUCUGAUCACACCAACUGACCAAGUUCUAGGUAGAUGAUCCUAAUUCUGGUCUUAAGGAGGGCAAAGAGAAUGGACAAUGAGUUAGAAACAGGCAAGCAGCAGUUGGCCAAGUCCUAGGAGAUGGAGGAUAUACUAAUAUUUGGAGCUUAAAGGGCCAUCAUGGACGAUGACCAAUCAUCGUGCGUUAAGUCAUGCGUAAAGGCAUGCGUAACUUUACGAACAGCUUUAUGAAACACCAACCUGAGUAAUCUUUCAACCAAUCACAGUUGGACAGCGAUGACCAAGAAGGAGAUUGAGGAUUAAGACAAGGAGCUUACGGGCCAUCAUGGACAGUGACAAUCGAUCAUCACAGUUCUACGCUGAAGCCACUGACCUAAUCCUGCAAAGGGAUGUACCCAAGUCAUCAAGCACAAGCCUGGAAGGAUCAUCUUUUGCAAAGGGAAGCUCAAAAAAAGAUUCUGAUCACAUCAAAUGACCAAGGUCAAAGUAGAUGAUCCUAAUUCUGGUUUUAAGGAGGGCAAAGAGAACGGACAUUGAGCUAGAAACAGGCAAGCAGCAGUUGGCCAAGUCCUAGGAGAUGGAGGAUAUACUAAUAUUUGGAGCUUAAAGUGCCAUCAUGGACGAUGACCAAUCAUCGUGCGUUAAGUCAUGCGUAAAGGCAUGCGUAACUUUACGAACAGCUUUAUGAAACACCAACCUGAGUAAUCUUUCAACCAAUCACAGUUGGACAGCGAUGACCAAGAAGGAGAUUGAGGAUUAAGACAAGGAGCUUACGGGCCAUCAUGGACAGUGACAAUCGAUCAUCACAGUUCUACGCUGAAGCCACUGACCUGAUCCUGCAAAGGGAUGUACCCAAGUCAUCAAGCACAAGCCUGAAAGGAUCAUCUUUUGCAAAGG